GCCUGUUGAGGACAACUACUAAAACUGGAACGAUACAGAACAUAUUAGCAUAGCCCAUGUGUGAGGAUGACACCCAAAUUUGUGAAACAGUCCAAAAAGAU
ensembl:snRNA U6 U6 spliceosomal RNA